GACAGAGGUGCCGAGCGUUAGGCGGAAUCACUGGGCUUAAAGCGUGUGUAGGCGGGCCGUUAAGUGUCUUGUGAAAUCCCCCCGGCUCAACCGGGGAAUUGCUGGGCAUACUGGCGGUCUUGAGCAAUCUAGGGGCAGAUGGAACAAGUGGUGGAGCGGUGAAAUGCGUAGAUAUCACUUGGAACGCCAAAGGUGAAGACAGUCUGCUGGGGAUUUGCUGACGCUGAGACACGAAAGCCAGGGGAGCGAACGGGG
rnacentral:rRNA from 1 species